GAUGAACGCUGGCGGCGUGCUUAACACACGCAAGUCGAACGAAGCACUAAAGUGGAAGUUUUCGGAUGGAAGCUUUGGUGACUUAGUGGCGGACGGGUGAGUAACGCGUGGGUAACCUGCCUCAUACAGGGGGAUAACAGUUGGAAACGACUGCUAAGACCGCAUAAUACUAUUUUCCGCAUGGAGCGAAAGUCAAAGAUUUAUCGGUAUGAGAUGGACCCGCAUCUGAUUAGCUAGUUGGUGAGGUAAUGGCUCACCAAGGCGACGAUCAGUAGCCGGCUUGAGAGAGUGACCGGCCACAUUGGGACUGAGACACGGCCCAAACUCCUACGGGAGGCAGCAGUGGGGAAUAUUGCACAAUGGGGGAAACCCUGAUGCAGCGACGCCGCGUGAGUGAAGAAGUAUUUCGGUAUGUAAAGCUCUAUCAGCAGGGAAGAAAAAAAUGACAGUACCUGACUAAGAAGCCCCGGCUAACUACGUGCCAGCCGCCGCUGUAA
rnacentral:rRNA from 1 species